rnacentral:lncRNA from 1 species
GUAGUCGAUUUGCAUUUAAUCUGAUCGUUACUUCACUUCAUCUUCCUUUUCUGUAUUCAAUUCUCAUUAUAAACCCCAAACAAAAUUCUUAAUAGGAGAGAAGCUAGAAUGAGAAGGCAGGGAAUGUGACUUACUCCGAAAGUGAACCAGCUACGUUACUCCGGCCACCCUAUCGGUCAACCUCGGUGAUAGAGACCGAUGCUUUGUUUUGGGGAUUAACUGGUGGGGUUGAACCUAUACAGCAACGACGAUGUACCGAUUAGGCGACAAAUCAGGUUCCGGUCAAGGCUAGGGUUCCAGCGAGUACGUCGGGUUGGAUAGAUGUGUGAAAUUGUGGUCAUAUCUAAUGAUUUAGAGGUCAUCAAAGCUGGUUGGGCUAAGUCAUUUGCACCAUUUCCUAAAGAUUGAUAGUGAUGUUCACGUUCUGGUGUUAGACAAAAAAAUCUGUGGAGAUGUUCAAAGUAAACUGCUAACGGUUCUUGAAAGUGGCAAACCAAACUAGCUGGGUUGAUUGGACUGGACUGGUCAAAUUGGUUCAGUUUGGCGGUUUGAACCAAGGCCUCAACCAAAACUUUCUAUAAUUUUCAGUUUUGUUUUAUGUGCAGUGGGAGUUUAGGUUCGCUUAACCAGGGUAACUUUCAUUAAUGAAGAAGCCGACCCAAAGCAGGCCGUCCAACAGAAACAACUACAAGAUUACAUAUUUACAAAAGAGCUCCACUUUCCCCAAACCGAUUGAGGUAAGAUAAGUCUUGCUGGAUUGCUAUUUUUCUUUUAAGUUUUCACAUAGUUUCAACAUAGUCACAGAAAUCGCUCAUCCUCCCGCGAAUUCCGUAUUGGAUCGUUUUGUACCAAAUCGGUACUGGUACGUGACUGGAAUUGAAUGAUACGCUGUACCAAUUUGAUUUUUCAAUCACUCAGAUGUUGUUGGGUUCUGUUAAUUGGAUCGUUAAUUUAGGCUAGCCGCUGCAAGAGAAAACGCGUCUGGUACGUAUGGUAAUAUCAAAUCAGAAAUCACGUGUGAAAAUAGAGAUAGGGCCACUAUUAUCAGAAAGUUUGUUGAACAUGGAACGAAUCGUUGUCCGAUUGGGCUAAGGGUAUAUCAGAAAGUUUAUGUUUAUUUUUUCUAUUUCGUAAUAUGAAGUUUGGAUUUUUAUUAUUUGGUUUAUGAAUUUAGUAAUUUCUGUUUUAAUUUUUGUAUAUCGAACAGGACUCAAUGGUACACCGCAGUUGCUAAUCGUGGUUGCUCAAUCCGUGUGGGGCGUGAUACUGAGGCCGCUGGCGAAGAAUCCUAAUUGUAACGAAGAACAAAAACUGUGUCCGAAUUGUACAUGGUAAUGCGAAUUGAGGAAGUCAGUAGGAGCAAAAGGGCUGCACUUGUUUGAUAGUUGACAUGCACAGCUUCACCGGUGCCACAGAUUGAGACGUGGGUUUGUUUGCGGUGGGGUUUCUUGGUGGUGGGAAGUGGAGAGGUCUGGCGGUUGUUAAAGUUCCUGGGCUGAGAGAGAUGCGAGAGAGAAACAGCAGAGACGCAGUCGCAGAGAUUAGAG